rnacentral:lncRNA from 1 species
GAUAAUAUCACUAAAGCCUUUCUUUGGCAUAAUUGACUUAGUCAUCUUUUAUUGGAAAGGGUGAAUAAGCCAACAAUGUUCUGAGUUUGAUACAUAUUGAUGUAUUUAUACUCAUGAACAUUUGUACCAAAAGAGGGCUUACUACUUCAUUAAAAUCUCUGACGAUCUAUUUUGACAUGGUUGUAUCUUGCUUAUGAAGCACAAACCGAAUCGGUUGAAGUGUUCAAAUGAUUCCGUAAUGAGGUAGAAAAAUAAACUGCAAAGAGUAUUAUAAUUUAUCAGUUUGACUGAUGAAGUGAAUACCUUUACAGUAAGUUAUGACAUGUCUUGAAAACAAUUAGAUUCUCUCUUAAUGGACCUCUCC